rnacentral:rRNA from 1 species
UACGAAGGGGGCUAGCGUUGUUCGGAAUUACUGGGCGUAAAGCGCGCGCAGGCGGUCUUCCAAGUCAGUGGUGAAAGCCCGGAGCUCAACUCCGGAACUGCCAUUGAAACUGUUAGACUUGAGGAUGAGAGAGGUGAGUGGAAUUCCCAGUGUAGAGGUGAAAUUCGUAGAUAUUGGGAAGAACACCGGUGGCGAAGGCGGCAACCUGGUCCUUGACUGACGCUGAGGCGCGAAAGCGUGGGGAGCAAACAGG